CCUACGGGUGGCAGCAGUGGGGAAUAUUGCACAAUGGGGGAAACCCUGAUGCAGCGACGCCGCGUGAGUGAAGAAGUAAUUCGUUAUGUUAAGCUCUAUCAGCCGGGAAGCAAAUGACGGUACCUGAGUCAGAAGCCCCGGCUAACUACGUGACAGCAGCCGCGGUACUACGUAGGGGGCAAGCGUUAUCCGGAUUUACGGGGUGUAAAGGGGGCGUAGGCGGAAAUGCAGGUCUGGAGUGAAAGGCGGGGGCCCAACCCCCGGACUGCUCUGGAAACUGUACGGCUGGAGUGCAGGAGAGGUAAGGGGAAUGCCUAGUGUAGCGGUGAAAUGCGUAGAUAUUAGGAGGAACACCAGUGGCGAAGGCGGCUUACUGGACUGUAACUGACGUUGAGGCUCGAAAGCGUGGGUAGCGAACAGGAUUAGAUACCCGGGUAGUC
rnacentral:rRNA from 1 species